rnacentral:rRNA from 1 species
GGCGAACGGGUGAGUAAUGCGUGACCAACCUGCCCCAUGCCCAGAAUAGCUCUUGGAAACGGGUGGUAAUGCUGGAUGCUCCAACUUGACGCAUGUCUUGUUGGGAAAGUGUUUAGUGGCAUGGGAUGGGGUCGCGUCCUAUCAGCUUGUAGGCGGGGUAAUGGCCCACCUAGGCUUCGACGGGUAGCCGGCCUGAGAGGGCGGACGGCCACAUUGGGACUGAGAUACGGCCCAGACUCCUACGGGAGGCAGCAGGG